rnacentral:rRNA from 1 species
CAGUCGCCGCGGUAAUACGGAGGGUGCAAGCGUUAAUCGGAAUUACUGGGCGUAAAGCGCACGCAGGCGGUCUGACAAGUCAGAUGUGAAAUCCCCGGGCUUAACCUGGGAACUGCAUUUGAAACUGUCAGGCUGGAGUCUUGUAGAGGGGGGUAGAAUUCCAGGUGUAGCGGUGAAAUGCGUAGAGAUCUGGAGGAAUACCGAUGGCGAAGGCAGCCAUCUGGCCUAAUACUGACGCUGAGGUACGAAAGCAUGGGGAGCAAACAGGAUUAGAUACCCCGGUAGUCCCUGUCUCUUAUAA